CCCUUAGAUGUUCUGGGCCGCACGCGCGCUACACUGAUGACUGCAACGAGCUCUACCCUUGACCGAAAGGCCCGGGUAAACUUGUGAAACUUCAUCGUGAUGGGGAUAGAUUAUUGCAAUUAUUAAUCUUCAACGAGGAAUUCCUAGUAAGCGCGAGUCAUCAGCUCGCGUUGAUUACGUCCCUGCCCUUUGUACACACCGCCCGUCGCUCCUACCGAUUGAAUGGUCCGGUGAAAUCUUCGGAUUGCUGACCAAGAUCCAGCAAUGGAGCUUGGUUGCGAGAAGUUGAUUAAACCUUAUUAUUUAGAGGAAGGAGAAGUCGCAACA
rnacentral:rRNA from 1 species